rnacentral:rRNA from 1 species
AUUGAACGCUGGCGGCAGGCCUAACACAUGCAAGUCGAGCGGAUAAAGGGAGCUUGCUCCUGGAUUCAGCGGCGGACGGGUGAGUAAUGCCUAGGAAUCUGCCUGGUAGUGGGGGAUAACGUCCGGAAACGGGCGCUAAUACCGCAUACGUCCUGAGGGAGAAAGUGGGGGAUCUUCGGACCUCACGCUAUCAGAUGAGCCUAGGUCGGAUUAGCUAGUUGGUGGGGUAAAGGCCUACCAAGGCGACGAUCCGUAACUGGUCUGAGAGGAUGAUCAGUCACACUGGAACUGAGACACGGUCCAGACUCCUACGGGAGGCAGCAGUGGGGAAUAUUGGACAAUGGGCGAAAGCCUGAUCCAGCAAUGCCGCGUGUGUGAAGAAGGUCUUCGGAUUGUAAAGCACUUUUAGUUGGGAGGAAGGGCAGUAAGUUAAUACCUUGCUGUUUUGACGUUACCAACAGAAUAAGCACCGGCUAACUUCGUG